CAAACCAAAGCUGGCGACCGGCGCACGGGUGAGUAACACGUAUCCAACCUGCCUCAUACUCGGGGAUAGCCUUUCGAAGAAAGAUUAAUAUCCGAUAGCAUAUAUUUCCCGCAUGGGUUUUAUAUUAAAGAAAUUCGGUAUGAGAUGGGGAUGCGUUCCAUUAGUUUGUUGGGGGGGUAACGGCCCACCAAGACUACGAUGGAUAGGGGUUCUGAGAGGAAGGUCCCCCACAUUGGAACUGAGACACGGUCCAA
rnacentral:rRNA from 1 species